rnacentral:rRNA from 1 species
CCUACGGGAGACAGCAGUGAGGAAUAUUGGUCAAUGGGCGAGAGCCUGACCCAGCCAAGUCGCGUGAAGGAUGAAGGAUCUAUGGUUUUUAAACUUCUUUUAUAUGGGAAUAAAGUGAGGAACGUGUUCCUUUUUGUAUGUACCAUAUGAAUAAGCAUCGGCUAACUCCGUGCCAGCAGCCGCGGUAAUACGGAGGAUACGAGCGUUAUCCGGAUUUAGUGGGUUUAAGGGGUUCGUAGGUGGUUAAUUAAGUCAGCGGUGAAAGUUUGUGGCUCAACCAUAAAAUUGCCGUUGAAACUGGUUGACUUGAGUAUAUUUGAGGUAGGCGGAAUGCGUGGUGUAGCGGUGAAAUGCAUAGAUAUCACGCAGAACGCCGAUUGCGAAGGCAGCUUACUAAACUAUAACUGACACUGAAGCACGAAAGCGUGGGGAUCAAACAGGAUUAGAUACCCUUGUAGUC